GGGAUAACGGUUGGAAACGGCCGCUAAUACCCCAUAUGCCGAGAGGUGAAAUGAAUUUCGCGUGAAAUGAGCCCGCGUCUGAUUAGCUUGUUGGUGAGGUAAGAGCUCACCAAGGCAUCGAUCAGUAGCUGGUCUGAGAGGAUGAUCAGCCACACUGGGACUGAGACACGGCCCAGACUCCUACGGGAGGCAGCAGUGGGGAAUUUUCCGCAAUGGGCGAAAGCCUGACGGAGCAACGCCGCGUGAGGGAUGAAGGCCUCUGGGCUGUAAACCUCUUUUAUCAAGGAAGAAGAUCUGACGGUACUUGAUGAAUAAGCCACGGUUAAUUCCGUGCCAGCAGCCGCGGUAAUACGGGAGUGGCAAGCGUUAUCCGGAAUUAUUGGGCGUAAAGCGUCCGCAGGCGGCCCUACAAGUCUGCUGUUAAAAAGUGGAGCUUAACUCCAUCAUGGCAGUGGAAACUGUUGGGCUUGAGUGUGGUAGGGGCAGAGGGAAUUCCCGGUGUAGCGGUGAAAUGCGUAAAUAUCGGGAAGAACACCAGUGGCGAAGGCGCUCUGCUGGGCCAUCACUGACGCUCAUGGACGAAAGCCAGGGGAGCGAAAGGGAUUAGAUACCCCUGUAGUCCUGGCCGUAAACGAUGAACACUAGGUGUCGGGGGAAUCGACCCCUCCGGUGUCGUAGCCAACGCGUUAAGUGUUCCGCCUGGGGAGUACGCACGCAAGUGUGAAACUCAAAGGAAUUGACGGGGGCCCGCACAAGCGGUGGAGUAUGUGGUUUAAUUCGAUACAACGCGAAGAACCUUUCCAGGGUUUGACAUCCUGCGAAUCUCUUGGAAACUUUGAGAGUGCCUUCGGGAGCGCAGUGACAGGUGGUGCAUGGCUGUGGUCAGCUCGUGUCGUGAGAUGUUGGGUUAAGUCCCGCAACGAGCGCAACCCACGUCUUUAGUUGCCAGCAUUUAGUUGGGCACUCUAGAGAGACCACCGGUGAUAAACCGGAGGAAGGUGUGGAUGACGUCAAGUCAUCAUGCCCCUUACAUCCUGGCGUAGACUCGUAGUACAAUGCUACGGACAAAGGGCAGCAAGUUCGCGAGGACAAGCAA
rnacentral:rRNA from 1 species